AGUAAGGAAUAUUGGUCAAUGGACGAAAGUCUGAACCAGCCAUGCCGCGUGAAGGAUGAAGGUCCUCUGGAUUGUAAACUUCUUUUAUAUGGGGCGAAAAAAGGCCUUUCUAGGUCGUCUGACGGUACCAUAUGAAUAAGCACCGGCUAACUCCGUGCCAGCAGCCGCGGUAAUACGGAGGGUGCAAGCGUUAUCCGGAUUCACUGGGUUUAAAGGGUGCGUAGGUGGGUUGGUAAGUCAGUGGUGAAAUCUCCGGGCUUAACUCGGAAACUGCCAUUGAUACUAUUAAUCUUGAAUACCGUGGAGGUUGGCGGAAUAUGUCAUGUAGCGGUGAAAUGCUUAGAUAUGACAUAGAACACCAAUUGCGAAGGCAGCUGGCUACACGGAUAUUGACACUGAGGCACGAAAGCGUGGGGAUCAAACAGGAUUAGAUACCCUGGUAGUCCACGCCCUAAACUAUGGAUACUCGACAUUUGCGAUAAACUGUAAGUGUCUGAGCGAAAGCAUUAAGUAUCCCACCUGGGAAGUACGAUCGCAAGACUGAAACUCA
rnacentral:rRNA from 1 species